CAAGCACAUGGAAUAAUGAUGGAGGAGUGAUAGAUAACCUGCUGCUCAUGGAGAAAGGUGCUGGAAUCACACUUUGCAAUGGAAAUAUCCGUUCCUUCAUAACCAGAAGCUCUUCUGCAACCGCAGAUGACCUCUCUCCGAUCACCAUUGACAACGAAAGGGGAAUUGUUACGGAGCAAAACCAUUUUUAUUGUUGUUUCCAACUGGCUACUCGUGCACUUCUAAUUUUGGUUAAUUUGCAACACGGCUGUGAUGCAGCGGAAGAGUGAACCUCUGAAAUGCUACCUGACUGCUGAGUUCCUCCACACGUGUGUGUGUGUUACUGCAGACACUGGUUCACAAACUUUUUUGGAUUACCGCCCCCUCGACUCCAGGACUCCCCUUCUGCCGAAGGAUUUUGGCCCAAAACGUCAACUGUGCUUUUUUCGGUGGAUGCUGCCUGGCCUGCUGAGUUCCUCCUGCAUGUUACGUCAUUUAUGAAAAUCACAAAGAGAAGGGGUCCCAGAACAGAUUCCGCCCCCCCAGAACACAUUGGUCACCAACCUCCAUGCAGAAUAUGAACCAUCUACAGCCACCCUUUGCUUUCUGUGGGCAAGCCAAUUCUGGAUCCACAAAGCAAGGUUUCCUUGGAUCCCAUGCCUCCUUACUUUCUGAAGGAACCAUACAUGGGGAACCUUAUCAACCAUUAGCUCGUCUUCGGAGUUCUGGGAUUUCGAUUUCGUGGCUCUGGAGGCGGGUGGACUCGAGGGCUUUUGAUGCUUGUUUCGGGACAGAGUGGCAAGUCUCCCUUCAGACCCUGAAGAGCUUCCUGUCACUCAGACCAAGAGAAAACCCAGUGAGUUCCUCUUUUCUUCAUCCAAGUCAUGAAAGUCACAAGUCAGCUCACAGAGUGCUGGAGGAACUCAGCCAGUCAAGCAGCAUCUAUGGCAGGAAAUGGACGUUCAACAUUUCGGGUCAAGACUGCAAAAUAAGAAUCAAAAUCAAGAGCGCCAAUAGCUGGGUUAAUCUUUGCUGACUCAACACUACCUCCUGUGAGCUGCCUGCAGAAGCCACUUCCUCCAAUGGCCAACAACACCAGGACCAGAAGCAGUGACUGGAGGCAGAGACAAGCAGAAGCUCAGUCCAUGCGUGCUUGCCAUUUAUUCACACGAACCUACCCCGGAUCAUUGCCGCCAGAUCUGCAACAGCUAUAACCGAGCUUUGAAUGGUUGGAGAGAAGCUAGAGAAUUUAUUUCAGUUUGUGCGAGAGAGAAAGAGACGAUGGACAGUCGGAGACAGAAAGUGACAGAGAGGGGUGGAUGGUUGGCAUAGUCACAAGACUCAAUGUCAAUGUUUACAGACCAAUAGGACUGUCGUCACUCAUGUGGCCCCCUGGCGAGGUGCACUACUACAGUAUCUGAGGGCCCUUCCCUCUCCAGGAAACAAAGAGCCGCACAGUCUGGUCCUUCCCCACCGAGCCUCGGCAGUGGCUACACAGAGCUUCGUUGCGUCCUCAGCACGUACUCCCCAGUCGGCAGCAUUCCUCCACGGACAUCUUGAUGUGCUGUCAGACUAAAGGGCGUCUCUCACCAAGGUAAUGAUGUGCUCGAGGCACUUGACGUCCAUCCCUCCAUGUAUGUCCCUGGGAACAGUCCUUAGAUCUGUCACCCAGCUGCUUGGGUUGUAUCUUCCCUCAUCAGCAAAGUGGGGACUGACUGCUUCAAGCACGCUGUAAUCACCCCACUGUCAGUGUGCAGUGGAAGUGAUGACCUGGGCACUCAAGAAGAACUCACCGCCAGCCAGGCAGUGCCACGAACACAAGGAAGUCUGCAGCAGCUGGAAAUCCAAAACAACGCACGAUAAAUUCUGGAGGAGCUCACUAGGCCAGGCAGCAUCUCUGGAAAAGAGUAAACAGGCUGAGAAGGGUCCUGCCCUGUAACCUUGACUGUUCACUGUGGGUGCUGAGCUCCUCUGAGGUGUUGAUGCCUGUUGGUGAGACCUGUCAAUCAGACAUUCUACCAGAUCAACCAAGCGUGUGUCGAUGUGUGUGAAUGCAGUUAUUGAUGCCUCACACACCGCUUCUCAGUUGCUGUGGUCCCAUAACGUUCGAUAUGCUGCUCAUGGAUUUCCAGCACCUGCAGAAUCUCUGGUCUUCAUAAUUUUUCCUACUCGUUGGCCCAAGUCUGUGAGAGUGGUAGCUUGCUAGUUAAGAUGGCUGGAACUUGAACCGGGUGCACCUAGAAGCAGUAUGACUCAGCUACCAGCCAUAAUCAACACUGGGAGAGCCCCACUCGUGUCUUCUGUGUGACUUUGUGGGUGGAGAGCGUUUGAAGCUUUCAACAUGCCAAAAAUAAUUCUCUCAUUCUGACAGAUUCUAAUCUGGCUCAGUUGUUCCCUGACAUGUUAUCUCACUAUUGAACUACCCCGUCCUUCAUGACUCACUGUUACCAUUUCACCAAAUUUGCUGUCUAGGGCUGAAUUGAUGUAUACAGACAGCUUGGCUGUGCACAUCCACCGAUCCCUCAAAGUCAACUGGGCGGGAAAGAAGUUUCCGUAUAUUUUGAGAGGAUGCUACACCAAACCUGACAGUAAUGCUCGCUACGAUGGCAGUGUUUUACUGCACCAGGAUGUUCUUGGGAAGAUGGAAUUUUGCCAACUGUCAACUCCUAGGUCUUCUUAACGAUUCAGGUCGCAACAGAUGGCCGUCCAGAUGACGCCUGAUCUGCUGAGUUCCUCCAGCGUUUUUUAUGUGUUACUCUGGAUUUCUGGCAUCUGCAGUAUCUCUCGCAUUUGUGACCAUGGUCCACUUACUGAGACCCAGGAAGGAUGUGGAAGCUAUGGAAAGAGCGCAGAGGAGAUUUAUCAGGAUGUUGCCUGGUUUGGUGACCGUGGUGGGACUCAUCAGCAAGAAUGACGAGUCAGCUUACAGAGAGGAGGUGCAGUGGCUAACGGACUGGUGCAGAGCCAACAACCUGUCUCUGAAUGUGAACAAAACAAAAUAGAUGGUUGUUGACUUCAGGAGGGCACGGAGUGACCAUUCCCCGCUGAACAUCGACAGCUCCUCGGUAGAGAUCGUAAAGAGCACCAAAUUUCUUGGUGUUCACCUGAUGGAGAAUCUCACCUGGUCCCUCAACACCAGCUCCAUAGCAAAGAAAGCCCAGCAGCAUCUCUACUUUCUGCGAAGGCUGAGGAAAGUCCAUCUCCCACCUCCCAUCCUCAUCACAUUCUACAGGGGUUGAAUUGAGAACAUCCUGAGCAGCUGCAUCACUGCCUGGUUCGGAAAUUGCACAGUCUCAGAUCGCAAGACCCUGCAGUGGAUGGUGAGGUCAGCUGAGAAGAUCAUCAGGGUCUCUCUUCCCGGCAUCACGGUCAUUUACACUACACGCUGCAUCCGCAGAGGAAACAGCAUUAUGAAGGACCCCAUGCACCCCUCAUACAAACUCUUCUCCCUCCUGCCGUCUGGGAAAAGGCACCAAAGCAUUCGGGCUCUCACAACCAGACUGUGUAACAGUUUCUUCCCCCAAGCUAUCAGACUCCUCAAUACCCAGAGCCUGGACUGACACCUUGCCCAACUGUCCUGUUUAUUAUUUAUUGUAAUGCCUGCACUGUCCUUGUGCACUUUAUGCAGUCCAGUGUAGGUCUGUAGUCUAGUGUAGCUUUCUUUGUGUUUUUUUUAUGUAGUUCAGUCUAGUUUUUGUACUGUGUCAUGUAACACAAUGAUCCUGAAAAAUGUCGUCUCAUUUUUACUAUGUACUGUACCAGCAGUUAUGGUCGAAAUAACAAUAAAAGUAACUUGAUUUGA